rnacentral:misc_RNA from 1 species
AAGUCGUAACAAGGUUUCCGUAGGUGAACCUGCGGAAGGAUCAUUAACACGUAUCCAACGUUAAACCCCCCUGUGAACUUUUAUACUUGCUCUCUUAACUGACGGAAUUGCAAUCCCUGGUAAAUCAUUGUUGAACAGAUUUUGAUUCAGGGACCUCAGUUUGGCAGUUAGGAUUGAGCGAUCGUUGCAAGUGGCCUGGUUUCCCCAAGCAGUCAGUGUCUGAAAGUGGCAUUGAUUGUGUAAGGAUAACGCUUUUCGAUCACUAGAGGCCGACACCGGCCGGUGCCCACUACCUGAUUCCGCCUCGUAGGAAACUGCUGGGCAACAAAACGAACAACUGUUAACAAUGGAUAUCUUGGUUCUC